GCAACUGACUUGUAAUCAGUAGGUCGUGGGUUCAAAUCCUAUUGCCGGCU
rnacentral:tRNA from 1 species